rnacentral:lncRNA from 1 species
UGCAACUAGUACUUUUUAUCAUUCUAUCGAACAAAGAGUAAAACCUAAUUAAAUUGUUCUAUUAUGCCCCGAGAGUGUAAAUUUAGAACGAAUCGCUGUCAACGUUCACAGGAACAAAAACCGGAACAACAUGAGAGUACUGAGUUGCGCCAUAAUAGUAUAACAUUGCAACGAGUACUUUUUCUCAUUCUAUCGAAUAAGGAGUAAAAGUUUUCUAUUAUGCCCCGAGAGAGUAAAUUUAGAACGAAAUGACGUCAACGUUCACAAGAACCAAAACCGAAACAACGUUAGACUACUCAGUUGAGCCCACAUAUUAUAAUUUUGCAACUAGUACGUUUUCUCAUUCAAUCGAUCAUAGAGCAAAACCUAAUUAUAUUGUUCUAUUUUGCCCCGAGAGUGUAAAUUUGAAACGAAUCGUUGUCAACGUUCACAAGAAUCAAAACCUGAACAACGUUAGUCUACUCAGUGGAGCCCUAACGGUAUAACAUUGCAACUAGUACUUUUUCUCAUUCAAUCGAACAAAGAGUAAAACCUAAUUAUAUUGUUCUAUUAUGGCCCAAGAGUGUAAAUUUGGAACGAAUCGAUGUCAACUUUCGCAAGACCAAAAGCGGAACAACAUUAGACAACUCAGUUUCGACCUAACAGUAUAACGUUGCAACAAGUAGUUUUUCUCAUUCUAUCGAACAAAGAGUAAAACCUAAUUAAAUUGUUCUAUUAUACCCCGAGAGUGUAAAUUUGGAACGAAUCGAUGUCAAUAUUCCCAAGAACCAAAACCGGAACAACAUUAGACUACUCAGUUGCUCCAUGACAGUAUAACUUUGCAACGAGUACUUUUUCUCAUUCUAUCAUACAAGGAGUAAAAGCUCUCUAUUAUGCCCCGAGAGUGUAAAUUUGGAAGGAAUCGAUGUCAACGUACACAAGAACCAAAACAGGAACGAGGUUAGACUUCUCAGUUGAGCCCUAACUGUAUAACUUUGCAAC